UACGUAGGGUGCGAGCGUUAAUCGGAAUUACUGGGCGUAAAGCGUGCGCAGGCGGUUUUGUAGGCCAGAUGUGAAAUCCCCGGGCUCAACCUGGGAAUGGCAUUUGGGACUGCAAGGCUUGAGUGCGGCAGAGGAGACUGGAAUUCCUGGUGUAGCAGUGAAAUGCGUAGAUAUCAGGAGGAAUACCGAUGGCGAAGGCAGGUCUCUGGGCUGACACUGACGCUCAUGCACGAAAGCGUGGGGAGCAAACAGG
rnacentral:rRNA from 1 species